UUCAGUUUGAAUUUCCGCAGUUUAGUGGGUUCGGCAGUUCUGCCAGCAGGGGGCGCUGUCUCCAGUGAACUGUGAGUCAGGUGCAGCCUGCACGUCCCGCACGGAUCAUAGACGGGACUGGGCCCGCCUCUCUGACCCACGGCGCACGCGCGUUCCACCGGUCUCGACUCAGCGCGCCGCUCACAGGCGUUCGUCUCAGGUGCCGCCAGAGCUUGUGCUGGGAUGGCCGGGUCGGCGUCUCUGCUGACAGGAGCUGAGGCUCCUUUAGACUCGCCGGGGCUUGGGCUUCAAGACAACACGGGGCUGUGUCCAUGAUGACAGGAGCUGGGUUUCCUGCCGACCCAGGAGACGCCAGGAGGAAAAGCUGGCCAGCAGGUGGCACCAAGCCCACCUCUGAUCCUUGAGGUGCAUGUGUGUUCCACUGGUGGACUUGGCUCAUGAAGGAACUUGGCUACUUGUUCCACUGAUAGAAGCCUGGUCUCUUCAGGAUCCGCCAUGGUUUCAGCUUUGGGACAACACUUGGCUGAGUCCAUGCAGACAGAAACCCAGUGUCUUCAGGAACCACCAGGAGGCAGCACCUUGGGAGUAAAAGGUUUCAGGAAAAUCGCUUUGCCUGGCCGGGGAAAGAAGAGGACCCCCAAAUCGUCCAGAGUCCUUAGGUCCUUGUAGCUGGUUGUAUAGAGAACUGGACACAUGCCAAAUGGGCAUUUGGCCUCCCUGCUCGAUCACCUGUAACCAAGCAGGGACAAGCCCUCUUUGAACAGCCUCCUUGAAUGCUGGAGAGGCUCUCUGGGUAAUUUAUUUGGCUAGAGAACCCUUUUUUCCCACUCCACCUUCACCCUAUCUCCAGGGACUGCUUGCUGAAAGCACCCACCUACAUCAGGUAUCUUACAGCCCCACAGUGGGUCUGGUAAUGUCUAA